rnacentral:rRNA from 1 species
CCCUGCCAUUUGUACACACCGCCCGUCGCUCCUACCGAUUUCGAGUGGUACGGUGAACCUUCUGGACUGGACACCUAGUGUUCGGGAAGUUAAGUAAACCUUAUCACUUAGAGGAAGGAGAAGUCGUA